CGGGGGUGGGUCUCGACCGGCGAGGGGGGCGGCGGCCGGCCGGCGGGGUCGCUGGCGUCCUCUUCCCGGGCCGGAGGCGGGGCGUGCCCGCAGCGGCUCCUCCCCCUGGGCUCCGCGCCGGCAAUGGGAGCCCUGGUGCGGGUGGGAGCGAGCAAGCGUGUCCUCCUUCCGCCUCCCCUCUCUGUCGUCCGCACUGGGCUGGGGCGGCGGCGCCUCAGCGGUUCCCUCGCGAGCCGGCAAGGACCCAGCGGCUGGGAGAGGAGGAGGAGCGGCUGGGCCGGGCGGAGACGCCAGCGGGCUCCGCGCACUGCAAUUCAGCCAAUCAGAGAUCUGAGCUGACGGUUACGUCGAUCUCUCCGCCCCAGGGACCGCCUUUCUCGGAGAAGCCACGCCCAACUGCUGCCUGGCUGGCUUCUCUUGCGACUUCCGCGAGGUCCUAAUGUCUGUCGUUUCCUGUGGCUGGAGGAGACCGGGUGAGACGGUGGUGCUAGGUGGUCUCACCAGGGCACGGGGAGAAGCGUGAGAGGCUCAAGUUAGAGAAGGAAAGUGGGCGACUUCAUUUUUCCCGAGGACCCAGACCCCGUUUUGACGACUGACACCCCACUGCUGUGCUCCUCGCUUCAGCUGCCUGCUCACCUCUGCCAGCACCGUCCCGGCGCCCUGAGCAAGUCCCGGGAGCCGGCGUUUCACCCUAGGACCGCGCAGACUCCAAGACGAACCGGUUCAAGUCCUCCACCGCCUGGUGGGCUUUAUCAAAGUCAGCAAUGGGAUUAUUCCCACCUUGUAAAACUUUACAGGGAUCAUUUGUGUUGAUUCUCCGAGUCGCAGAUCAGAGAAUUGGGCUGGGAUGCAAGGUUGUGGCCGUGACUUGGGGUCCCGGACAUUUGGACCGCGAGCUAGCCGCCAGGCUCAGACUGGCUGCUCUGUGCGGAGGUGGGGACUGGAGACCUGACCCGCCACUGGCCCAACGGUUGCUUCUGGAAGUGACCCAGAAUAUAUUCAACUAA
rnacentral:lncRNA from 1 species